rnacentral:lncRNA from 1 species
UCUGCCAAUGAACACAAAAAAUUUCAAAAACGUUAGUAGAAAUAACAACAACAACUCUAAGGGAAGAUAAAAUUAUAACGCAUUUUACCUCCCUUGACCAUGUACAAUAUAUCACUGCAACACCAUCAAAAAUACCAGUUGACAACAAACUUUUGACGUUUGAAGGGAAGUUGUUAGUAGAAGCCUUCUUGGGCUUUGGCUCUUUAUUCUUAACAACAAUAUCCGUUUUAGCAUUAGGUUUUGGGGUGUUAUUUACAAGCGGAUCGGGGUUUGAUUCGGUCAGAUCGUUCUGCCUAUCCACACCUUGAGCUGAGUUCUGGUUUCCUAUUAAGGAAUCAGAAUUAUUAAUGAUUCCACCAGAGGGAUUUGAUUCAGGAUCAACAUGAAAACCUCCAAAAGAUAUGGCACUGCCCUGAAACUUAUUGAAGUUUUGACCCAUAGGGAAAGACGUUAGUAGAAAUAACAACAACAACUCUAAGGGAAGAUAAAAUUAUAACGCAUUUUACCUCCCUUGACCAUGUACAAUAUAUCACUGCAACACCAUCAAAAAUACCAGUUGACAACAAACUUUUGACGUUUGAAGGGAAGUUGUUAGUAGAAGCCUUCUUGGGCUUUGGCUCUUUAUUCUUAACAACAAUAUCCGUUUUAGCAUUAGGUUUUGGGGUGUUAUUUACAAGCGGAUCGGGGUUUGAUUCGGUCAGAUCGUUCUGCCUAUCCACACCUUGAGCUGAGUUCUGGUUUCCUAUUAAGGAAUCAGAAUUAUUAAUGAUUCCACCAGAGGGAUUUGAUUCAGGAUCAACAUG